rfam:Felis catus isolate Cinnamon breed Abyssinian chromosome D4, whole genome shotgun sequence.
GCCUGGGUGGCUCAGUUGGUUGAGCAUCCGACUUCAGCUCAGGUCAUGAUCUCACAGUCCGUGAGUUCCAGUCCCACAUCAGGCC